GUGCUUGCUUCGGCAGCACAUAUACUAAAAUUGGAACAAUACAGAGAAGAUUAGUAUGGCCCAUGCGCAAGGAUGACACACAAAUUUGUGAAGCAUUCCAUAUUUUU
rnacentral:snRNA from 1 species